UUGGUAAGCUCAUGAUUCAUCUGGCUAAGCAGUCUUAGUAGACCGCCAAUGUUGUGUUAUUAAGAUGCAGGUUUCAAUAACCUUCAUGUUUGCGGCUAAAAUAAUGUAGUUAUCUCGGUAGUCUAGGUAGAUUGAAAUAAUUGUUUAUCCUUGAAGCAAAUCAACUAAACAACUGCCAGUAGAUGAUGAGGUGCCUUCUGCAAACAAAAAAGCUAAGCUCUAAGCGAGUAUUUUUAGGCGACCUAUCUUUUUCGGUGAUUUGUUUAAUCCUUCCUCUGCUCAAUUGAUGUGAAGCACAAACCUUGCUCUGCUAAAUUGAUGUGAACCACAAUCCUUGCUCUGCUCAAUUGAUCUUCCCAGCAAAUCAAUGAACAUGUGCCCACAGGGACACAGUCAAAGGUGCGCAUGUCAACUUAAUGGUUUUCAUCCAUAGUGCUUUGCCAUUAUUUUUAUUUUUAUUGUUUUUCUCAUUUGCCACUGUUGCCCAUUCUUUCUAGGACCAGUAUAUACAUCAUGAUUUUCUUUUUAUGACAUUGUUAUUUAUACUUGAAGCAAGGUAUCUGAAGACCUGAUGGGAAAUGAGGAGGUGCCCUUUGCAACUAAAAAGACUAAGUUGGAGACCAAG
rnacentral:lncRNA from 1 species